rnacentral:rRNA from 1 species
AGUGGAAGCGUCUGGAAAGGUGCGCGAUACAGGGUGACAGCCCCGUACACAAAAGCGCAUGUGCUGUGAGCUCGAUGAGUAGGGCGGGACACGUGGUAUCCUGUCUGAAUAUGGGGGGACCAUCCUCCAAGGCUAAAUACUCCUGACUGACCGAUAGUGAACCAGUACCGUGAGGGAAAGGCGAAAAGAACCCCGGCGAGGGGAGUGAAAAAGAACCUGAAACCGUGUACGUACAAGCAGUGGGAGCACAGGUUUACCUGUGUGACUGCGUACCUUUUGUAUAAUGGGUCAGCGACUUAUAUUCUGUAGCAAGGUUAACCGAAUAGGGGAGCCGGAGGGAAACCGAGUCUUAAUUGGGCGUUAAGUUGCAGGGUAUAGACCCGAAACCCGGUGAUCUAGCCAUGGGCAGGUUGAAGGUUGGGUAACACUAACUGGAGGACCGAACCGACUAAUGUUGAAAAAUUAGCGGAUGACCUGUGGCUGGGGGUGAAAGGCCAAUCAAACCGGGAGAUAGCUGGUUCUCCCCGAAAGCUAUUUAGGUAGCGCCUCGUGAAUUCAUCUCCGGGGGUAGAGCACUGUUUCGGCUAGGGGGCCAUCCCGGCUUACCAACCCGAUGCAAACUGCGAAUACCGGAGAAUGUUAUCACGGGAGACACACGGCGGGUGCUAACGUCCGUCGUGAAGAGGGAAACAACCCAGACCGCCAGCUAAGGUCCCAAAGUCAUGGUUAAGUGGGAAACGAUGUGGGAAGGCCCAGACAGCCAGGAUGUUGGCUUAGAAGCAGCCAUCAUUUAAAGAAAGCGUAAUAGCUCACUGGUCGAGUCGGCCUGCGCGGAAGAUGUAACGGGGCUAAACCAU